CUGAAAGAUCGUUUUCUCCUCUUUCUUUUUUCUUCUAAAGGCGCUAAGAAUUCAAGAAAAUUGGAGAAACAAAUUGACAAGAAAAGUAUUUUAUCUUCAUACUAAUAGUCAAAAACAACAAAAGAGAAGCUUUGCUGCAGCCUGCAGGAACAAAAAAAAAAGAGAGAGAAGAAGUACACACCAAAGAAAUUGGAAACUUUCACACGUUUUAAGUUCAAUUGGACACUGUUGUAUCUAUACGACACAAUGUCACAAUGUAUGUUUAACCCCGAUUUAGAAAACAAUAACAUCACCG